CCUACGGGAGGCAGCAGUAGGGAAUCUUUCACAAUGGGCGAAAGCCUGAUGGAGCAACGCCGCGUGCAGGAUGAAGGCCUUCGGGUUGUAAACUACUUUUAUAAGCGAGAAAUAUGAUGGUAACUUAUGAAUAAGGAUCGGCUAACUACGUGCCAGCAGCCGCGGUCAUACGUAGGAUCCGAGCAUUAUCCGGAGUGACUGGGUGUAAAGAGUUGCGUAGGUGGCAUAAUAAGUAGCUAGUGAAAUCUGGUGGCUCAACCAUUCAGACUAUUAGCUAAACUGUUAAGCUCGAGACCGUUAGGGGUAACUGGAAUUUCUAGUGUAGGAGUGAAAUCCGUAGAUAUUAGAAGGAACACCAAUAGCGUAGGCAGGUUGCUGGGACGGUUCUGACACUAAGGCACGAAAGCGUAGGGAGCAAACGGGAUUAGAUACCCCUGUAGUC
rnacentral:rRNA from 1 species